GAGUAUGCGUGUUUAUAAACAGUUGAUCGGAGAGUGCAAGAUUAGCAACUGCAGCUUUCUCCUGGAAGUUUACAGGCUGUGAAUGCUGGCCUACAGAGCCAGCCUUCCAGGAUCCAAGGUGCAAAGGACAGAGCAGAAGGCCCUGGUCACACUGUUCCGUCAGUUCUGGAACUCUACCAGAUCAACUCUGUUUGCUCCAAACCAACAUGACCUCUUACAAUGUAGCCAACUAUCAAAAUAAGAAAGCUAUUGAAUUCCC